UACGUAGGGGGCUAGCGUUGUCCGGAUUUAUUGGGCGUAAAGAGCGUGUAGGCGGCUCGGUAAGUCCGCUCUGAAAGCCCGGGGCUCAACCCCGGGAGGCGGGCGGAUACUGUCGGGCUAGAGUCCGGAAGAGGCGAGUGGAAUUCCUGGUGUAGCGGUGAAAUGCGCAGAUAUCAGGAGGAACACCAAUGGCGAAGGCAGCUCGCUGGGACGGUACUGACGCUGAGACGCGAAAAGCGUGGGGAGCAAACAGG
rnacentral:rRNA from 1 species